GUGUCCUAAUAAAAGAAGCCCAAGUAGACGACUCAUCCCUUCCACCAUGUGAAGGACCAGCUAGAAGCACUAAAGCACCUCUGUAACAACACUGAAUCUAACAGCACCUUGAUCUUGGACUCUGGGCCUCCAAAAGUGGAAGUAUGGUCAUUUCAUUCUUUCUGGUGGCUGAAUGACAGUCCUGUUUGUGUAUGUACCCCCUUUGAAAAUUCACUCAUCCCUUCAUGCUCAUCCUGAUUCUGUAUGGUGGCUAUUGUGACUCAUACCUCUGUCAACAUGGAAGUGUCCAUCACCACAUUGCUGACAAGUGUGCUCUCAGAUGACCAAACAGCUCUGUAACAGUGAGAAGGUGAUUGACUGUGUGUAGAAUCCUGUAGGGACAGACUGAAAUGCAUCUACUCAACGAGCUGGCCAGGAGAGAAGCAAAAUGAAGGACUGUGCUGGAGAGAAGAGUGGAGGAGCAAGUGGGGAGAGCUGGUUGAGGCAAGCCCCUAUAUGUCAGACUGGGAUGAAGCCUGGGCAGCCUGGUGCAGGGAGGCUGGGCUGCUCCUGCAGGGGAAGGGGUAUUAUAGUAGCA